GGGCUUGUAGCUCAGCUUGGUUAGAGCGCACGCCUGAUAAGCGUGAGGUCGAUAGUUCAAAUCUAUCCAGGCCCACCA
rnacentral:tRNA from 1 species